CAUUUUGUCUGAAACUUUCGAACCCUAAUUGAUAAACUCUCACUGCCUCCUUCUUCGAGUCCCUCAACCUCAGCUCUUCUCCAAUUAACCUGACCCGCGCCGCCGACCACAACUCCUUCUCCGACCUAACCCGGGGCCCCGACCUCAGCUCAGAGCCUGGAGCUCGUUCUCCGUCCUGACCUCGAGCUCGUUCUCCGACCUGAGCCACCUCGAGCUUUUUCUCCGACCACCACCAGCGUAGGUUCUCUCUCUCUCUUCUCUCCACCACCAAUACUGAUUUUCUCUCUCUUCUAAUAUGACACUGCUCCGGUGAGCCCGCUGUUAAACAGGUCCGGUUUCGAAUUUGAUUUCUUCUACUUGAGGGAUUCGAGUCGAUUUUGCUUCCGCCCGAAACCCUAUUCAACUCUUCCCGUGAUUUGGUAAUUUCUUUCCGAUUGGCAAAUCUCUCUUUUCUAACUUUGUUUCUGACUUUCCAGGUUGCCCAAACGAAGAAGCCCAUCAUUGCUCCUCCUCCCAAAAGCCAGUAAUUUUAAUUCAACCAAGUAGACACUGUUACAAUGGCAGAAAGAGUCGAAGAAAUUGAAGAGGCUCUGAAUGUUGAGCUCCAUCUCCACCUUUCUCAGCCUCCGACCCCAACCCUGACCCCGACAGAGAUCAACCAGCUUUUCAGCAAUGCUUCCGAUGUGUACAGAAACAUCCCUUGAGACCGUAUUUGGAUUAUGUUGGCUUUCUUUACCAAAGGAUGGAUCCUCUUCCUGAGCAAGAACGGUUUGAGCUUGGUUACAGGGAUUUCUUGCAGUCACCUUUACAGGUUUUCUUUCUUUGCCUACUGCUUUCUUGUAUUAUUUUUCCAUUAGUAAUUUCAUUCUUAAAUUUGUAUCUAGUGGAGAUUCUCCAAAGCAUGGAAGUUGGGCUGGCUUUCAGCCUUUCAGGGACUACGUGCUUGAAGACCAUUAACAGCAAAAAGUAUGGGGUUGAUUUGGUUUGCUUUACUUCUCAUCCUACCACGCAAAGAGUGCUUCGUUUCUGGUUCUCUUGAUCGAACAGUUCUGCUUUGGGAUCAACGAGCUAAGAAGUGCCAGGAAGGCAUGCCACAGCUUAUGAUGAUCAGGGGUUAGUUUUUACAAUUGCCUUUGGUGGAUACAUACAAAUGUUUGAUGCCCACGUGUAUUAAAAGGGUCCCUUUGAUAUCUUUUCUGUUGGGGGAGAUAUGUUUGAUGCAAAUGUUGUGAAGUUCAGUAAUGAUGGGAGACUUAUGCUGUUAACUACUACAGAUGGACAUAUUCUUGUACUUGAUUCGUUCUGUGGCACGCUUUUAUCCACGUACAAUGUAAAGCUUGUCUCAAGCAAUGCUAAAUUAGAGGCUUCUUUUAGCCCAGAUGGGAUGUUCAUUAUGUCAGUUGACUAUUCCAUUGAAGUAAGGGAUGUUGAUUGGACUUUGGGUUUGGUAUAAGCACAAGGCUGAGAAAGAAAAAAGAACAAAGAAAACAAUUAAUCACAAGAAAAUAUGAGGAGAUCUGUGCACCCCUGGUUGAAGAAUUUUGUUACAUUACUUAUAGGGUCCCUUAUUGAUAACACAUGUUUUAAGGAAAGAGUGGGCAGCAAAGGCAUGCAAAUCAUAUAGCCAAAAUGAUAUUGACGAGGUGUGCAUUGAAGUGGCUGAUUAUAUACAGAGUUUGGUGUAAGACUUUUGGCUUCCAUGAUUUUGAGUAAGGCUAGUUUUUGCUUGAAGCAAAGUUUGGUGUAGAACGUACUUUUGUAGUUGGUUGCUAAUAUGUUUCUAGGCUAGCCUUUGUAGGUUUUGGGUUUUAUUUUGUGAAUUAUGUUGAAUCAUGAAUUUGGAAAGAAAAUUAAUGGAAAGCCCCAAUUUUUGGG